CCCGACUGCUAUUUGGGUGAGGAUAAGCCAUGCGAGUUGAAUGGGAAACCUAAAAAUCCCAUGGCAAGCUGCUCAGUAACACAUGAUCAACUUACCCUAUAGAGGAAAAUAACCUCGGGAAACUGAGGAUAAUGUUCCAUAGUUGAAUCGGCUUGGAAAAGUUUUUCAAUAAGAGGGGUAAGGAAAAUGGUCCUUAUCUGCUAUAGGAUAGGAUCGUGCUCGAUUAUGGUUGUUGGUGAGGUAAAGGCUCACCAAGCCGAUAAUCGAUAGGGGCCGUGAGAGCGGGAGCCCGAGAUGGGUACUGAGACAACGACCCAGGCCUUACGAGGCGCAGCAGGCGCGAAACCUCCGCAAUACACGAAAGUGUAACGGGGUUACCCAAAGUGUUCAUUAGAACUGUGGUAGGUGAGUAAUGUUCCCUACUAGAAAGGAGAGGGCAAGGCUGGUGCCAGCCGCCGCGGUAAAACCAGCUCUUCAAGUGGUCGGGAUAAUAUUGGGCUUAAAGUGUCCGUAGCCGGUUUAGUAAGUUCCUGGUAAAAUCGGGUAGCUUAACUAUCUGUAUGCUAGGAAUACUGCUAUACUAGAGGGCGGGAGAGGUCUGAGGUACUACAGGGGUAGGGGUGAAAUCUUAUAAUCCUUGCAGGACCACCAGUGGCGAAGGCGUCAGACUGGAACGCGCCUGACGGUUAGGGACGAAAGCCAGGGGAGCGAACCGGAUUAGAUACCCGGGUAGUCCUGGCCGUAAACGAUGCAUACUAGGUGAUGGUACGGCCAUGAGCCAUAUCAGUGCCGUAGGGAAACCGUUAAGUGUGCCGCCUGGGAAGUACGGUCGCAAGGCUAAAACUUAAAGGAAUUGGCGGGGGAGCACCACAAGGGGUGAAGCCUGCGGUUCA
rnacentral:rRNA from 1 species